UCCAGACUCCUACGGGAGGCAGCAGUGAGGAAUAUUGGUCAAUGGGCGAGAGCCUGAACCAGCCAAGUCGCGUGAGGGAGUACUGCCCUAUGGGUUGUAAACCUCUUUUGUCGGGGAGCAAAAGCCGGACGUGUCCGGCUGUGAGAGUACCCGAAGAAAAAGCAUCGGCUAACUCCGUGCCAGCAGCCGCGGUAAUACGGAGGAUGCGAGCGUUAUCCGGAUUCAUUGGGUUUAAAGGGUGCGCAGGCGGGCCUUUAAGCCGGCGGUGAAAUCGCGGGGCUCAACCCCGCUGAGCCGUCGGAACUGGGGGCCUUGAGUGCGGCGGAGGCAUGCGGAAUGCGUGGUGUAGCGGUGAAAUGCAUAGAUAUCACGCAGAACUCCGAUUGCGAAGGCAGCGUACCGGCGCCCAACUGACGCUGAAGCACGAAGGCGUGGGUAUCGAACAGGAUUAGAUACCCGCGUA
rnacentral:rRNA from 1 species